rnacentral:sRNA from 1 species
AUUUUAACUGCCAUUCUGGCAACUGAACUUUGGCAGUAAACGCAGCUUAGUUGUCUCAGAGGACUCACAAUGGGAAAUGUUUGUAGUUGCUACCUCAGAGCAUGUUCUUUGAAGAUCAAAGAGCGGAUCCUGGGGUGCCAGGGGAAUCCACCGUCUGCCACCGCAAGUGUAAGAAGUGAAUCCUCCAUCACUGGCAUCGCAGCCGUGUACACGCUAGAGUUGCAUCAACGGAAGAUCACGAUGAGCAAGUGGCGCAGGAAACUUAUUCUGAGGAUGUCCCAGGCGUUCACAUGAUGGACAAAGCCACAGAGACAAGCAGCACGUAUUCUGGGAUCACCCCUGUGCUGAGGAAAAUUUCUAGUGUUGACAAAGGUGACACUUCCUUGCCUCAUUUUUUCUGGAGAGCCUCUCUGGUUUGAAUUUCCUGCCAGAAAUGCAGUUCAAGCACUUUUGUCUUGAAAAGUGAAGAACCCGGUCAAAAAAUGUGACCGUUGACUCUAGGGCCUGGAAGGAACUGUGUCAUUUGGAUAGAAGAGGGUGCUGUGCAUCAGGGUUGGGAG